UGGGGAAUAUUGCACAAUGGGCGAAAGCCUGAUGCAGCAACGCCGCGUGAGUGGUGAAGGCCUUCGGGUUGUAAAGCUCUGUCUUCUGGGACGAUAAUGACGGUACCAGAGGAGGAAGCCACGGCUAACUACGUGCCAGCAGCCGCGGUAAUACGUAGGUGGCAAGCGUUGUCCGGAUUUACUGGGCGUAAAGGAUGCGUAGGCGGAUAUUUAAGUGAGAUGUGAAAUUCCCGGGCUUAACUUGGGAGCUGCAUUUCAAACUGGGUAUCUAGAGUGUGGGAGAGGAAAGUGGAAUUCCUAGUGUAGCGGUGAAAUGCGUAGAGAUUAGGAAGAACCCCCGUGGCGGAGGCGACUUUCUGGACCAUAACUGACGCUGAGGCAUGAAAGCGUGGGGAGCAAACA
rnacentral:rRNA from 1 species